GGGUGGUAAUGCCGGAUGCUCCGGUUGGAUGCAUGUCCUUCCGGGAAAGAUCCAUCGGUAUGGGAUGGGGUCGCGUCCUAUCAGCUUGAUGGCGGGGUAACGGCCCACCAUGGCUUCGACGGGUAGCCGGCCUGAGAGGGCGACCGGCCACAUUGGGACUGAGAUACGGCCCAGACUCCUACGGGAGGCAGCAGUGGGGAAUAUUGCACAAUGGGCGCAAGCCUGAUGCAGCGACGCCGCGUGCGGGAUGGAGGCCUUCGGGUUGUAAACCGCUUUUGAUCGGGAGCAAGCCCUUCGGGGUGAGUGUACCUUUCGAAUAAGCACCGGCUAACUACGUGCCAGCAGCCGCGGUAAUACGUAGGGUGCAAGCGUUAUCCGGAAUUAUUGGGCGUAAAGGGCUCGUAGGCGGUUCGUCGCGUCCGGUGUGAAAGCCCAUCGCUUAACGGUGGGUCUGCGCCGGGUACGGGCGGGCUGGAGUGCGGUAGGGGAGACUGGAAUUCCCGGUGUAACGGUGGAAUGUGUAGAUAUC
rnacentral:rRNA from 1 species